GUCUGCGGCCCGGACCGCAGGGGCCCGCGGAGCGACCGGAGCAGGUGCCUGUGGAGACACACGGUCUGGGGCACAGAGUGGCUUCUGUUGUGUUUGCUAUUGUGCUGCUCAGCUUAGUCACAGGUCGGAAACGAGGAGUAGACGGACGAGAGGAAAAGUGAGGAGGGAGCAGGAGGUACCUACUUUCCUGUUUGUAACGAACGAGGAAGAGGAGAAAAAUGGUGAGCCGCUCAGAGAUCACUGAGCUGUGGUACUGGUGCCAUCUGACUUGCCAGUCCUGGAUACAUGAAUGACCUUGCUUAUCCAGUCAUCAGAUCCUGAGCCCACUGGGUGCCCAGCACAGUCGGAGGUGCUUGGAUGUAACGCUGGUGUCAGUUCUUGAUGGCCCAUCAACAGAGUCCUUGAGACGCUUUGCCAGGAAGAAAGCAAACCGAGGUUCUGUCAGAUCCCUGGCCUUACGAUGUUGACCAAGACGGUAGAAAGAAUCCCACUCCACCUGCACCUCCAAACACCUCAGAUCUCACUCUGCAAUCAUGAGGGCGAGAAAGGAAGAUCAGCAGCUGCCAAGCCCCAGUAGGUCCAGAAGGAAAAUGAACGACAUCAGCAUGACCUGAAGUAUCCAUCUCUAGGGUGAAGGCCAGCAGAAAGGAAUCCAUCAUUAGGAGAGUCAGCGGCGUUGGCUCUUGGGCCAUGAUUUGAUCUAUCUAUCCAAUAGACUCUAAUCUGAGGCUAUAAUGGUAGUCAAGGCUUGUACUUUGUUCUUGACAAAUAUAUUCAGAGGCAAAAAGUCUUCCCAAUCUAGAUUUCCCAUGAACAGAAUUCGGUUAGACUCGCUGCUACUCUGGUGUUCAAAUCUCCCCAGCAUCACUACCUUGGUUUCUGAAUCCCUGAAAGGCUAAUGACUGCAUUCCAGAUAUAAUAACAUAUUGAUUAAGUGCUCGUUAUGGGCUAUGCAUAGCGACAAUGUUUACAAAUGUUACCUUAUUUAAUGAGGCAGCUGCAGUAGACCCUUUUUACACAUGAGAACACCAAAGUAUAGAGGACUUGAGUAGACACCCAGGGUCACAAAGCCAGACUCAACCUAGGCCUGGUGGACUCCAAACCCCAUACUCUUAACCACUCUGCUGUAUGCAAAUUAAAGAGUAAGAAAUAUGUAGAACAGUAAAAAUGUGGUACUUAGGAACUGAACAAAAUGGGGACAAUUAUACCAUCGCAAUAGAAACUCAAGUGUAGAGGGGCAGAUCUCUGAUCAAGGGGGCCGAACCCCUAGACCACUGAAGUUAGGAUGCCAAGCAGCACAAAGAGAAGGCGCCAAACAUCUCAGGUACGAGUGGAGAGAUUUUCCACUCCCAGCAGCUCUGAUGGCUGGUGAAACUAGAGCCAGACAAGAUUAAAGAUGUAUACAUACAUUUUCCCAUCUGUUAUAGUCCUGGAGACAUCGAUUGAGUCAUUAGGGUAAGGACACAGUCAAGGUUAAAUUGCAGUCAUUUGCCUUUUGUCGAUUGAUGUUCGAAAUAUCAAUAACCAAGAUUUUGUCAGAUACAGGUUACAUGAGCUGAGAGAUUGCAUCCGCGUCAUCCCAGCGGGUAAAGAUAUUGUAGCAGAAGAGAGUUUCAGUCAAUGUGGACAAAACUAGGCCCCAAGGAGGUUACUGUUCCCUCAGUAAGUUCAAACUCUGGAGUCAGCACAGACUGGGUUGGAUCACUGACUCUACUUCUUCUAGGUGAUGACUUUGGGAAGGUCAUUUGUUUUUCUUCAAUCUUUUUUUUUUUUGAAAAGAUUUUAUUUAUUUGACCGAAAGAGACACAGCUAGAGAGGGAACACAAGCAGGGGGAGUGGGAGAGGGAGAAG